GCCAGGCGUGGUGGCGCACGCCUGUAAUCUCAGCUACUCGGGAGACUGAGGCAGGAGAAUCACUUGAACCCAGGAAGCGGAGGUUGCAGUGAGCUGAGAUCGUGCCACUGCGCUCUAGCCUGGGUGAUAGAGUGAGACUCUGCCUCAA
ensembl:misc_RNA Metazoa_SRP Metazoan signal recognition particle RNA